rnacentral:rRNA from 1 species
GUAGGGUGCAAGCGUUGUUCGGAAUCAUUGGGCGUAAAGCGCGUGUAGGCGGCCAACUAAGUCUGAUGUGAAAGCCCGGGGCUUAACCCCGGAAGUGCAUUGGAUACUGGCUGGCUAGAGGACGAGAGGGGAAAGUGGAAUUCCUGGUGUAGGGGUGAAAUCCGUAGAGAUCAGGAGGAACAUCGGUGGCGAAGGCGGCUUUCUGGCUCGUAUCUGACGCUGAGACGCGAAAGCGUGGGGAGCAAACAGGGAUUAGAUACCCUGGUAGUCCACGCCCUAAACGAUGGAUACUAGUCGUCGGGAUACUUAAUUGUCUCGGUGACGUAGCUAACGCAUUAAGUAUCCCGCCUGGGGAUUACGAUCGCAAGAUUA